rnacentral:rRNA from 1 species
GACGUAGGGCGCGAGCGUUUGUCCGGAUUUAUUGGGCGUAAAGAGCUCGUAGGCGGUUCGUCGCGUCGGCUGUGAAAUCCCGAGGCUCAACCUCGGGUCUGCAGUCGAUACGGGCGGACUGGAGUUCGGCAGGGGAGACUGGAAUUCCUGGUGUAGCGGUGAAAUGCGCAGAUAUCAGGAGGAACACCGGUGGCGAAGGCGGGUCUCUGGGCCGAUGACUGACGCUGAGGAGCGAAAGCGUGGGGAGCGAACAGG